UCACGGACAUACAUAUAAUUACCUAUAUGAAUAGAUAAAAGUAUGUAAAAGUAGAUAAAAGUAGGUUAAUUGUGUAAUAUCUUCUAGAGAAGCUUCUUAGAAGCUUCAUAGACGCUGCUUUGACUUUAUAGGAGUCUAUAGUUGACUUUUAGGUUAGAAACUUGGUCAACAAGUUAGCCAUGUGCCACACAUGUUGGAAGCUUAAAGAACAAGCUAACUACGUGGUCCAUCCAUAGAAAACUUGCCUUGCAAGCAAAGGCAUGUGGCCUAGAAAGUCAACAUAUAUUGAAGGUCAUAUAGAACAUCGCCACGUGGCUUCUAGUUAGAUAGUAUAUAUAGAGGCAAGAGUGAAGCCCUCUUCACUCUUGUCAACUCCUUUCUUGCUUCUAGUCUAGUUUCAAG
rnacentral:lncRNA from 1 species